rnacentral:rRNA from 1 species
CCUACGGGCGGCAGCAGUGAGGAAUAUUGGUCAAUGGGCGCGAGCCUGAACCAGCCAAGUCGCGUGAGGGAUGAAGGUUCUAUGGAUCGUAAACCUCUUUUAUAAGGGAAUAAAGUGUGGGACGUGUCCUAUUUUGUAUGUACCUUAUGAAUAAGGAUCGGCUAACUCCGUGCCAGCAGCCGCGGUAAUACGGAGGAUCCGAGCGUUAGCCGGAUUUAUUGGGUUUAAAGGGUGCGUAGGCGGCCUGUUAAGUCAGAGGUGAAAUCCUGUGGCUCAACCAUAGAAUUGCCGUUGAAACUGGGGGGCUUGAGUAUGUUUGAGGCAGGCGGAAUGCGUGGUGUAGCGGUGAAAUGCUUAGAGAUCACGAAGAACCCCGAUGGCGAAGGCAGCCUGCCAAGCCAUGACUGACGCUGAUGCACGAAAGCGUGGGGAUCAAACAGGAUUAGAUACCCUUGUAGUC